GAACCAAGGACCUCACAGUCAUUGUCCUCCUCCUCCACUACAAGCCUCCCUCCCACCACUGGGGCCUCCACCACUGUCUACUCAAUGGAAGCCAACGGUGAUCCCUGUGCCGAUUUUGAUCCAGAAAAGGAGGAAGGGGAAGUGCAGUACUUGGUUAAAUGGAAAGGUUGGUCAUACAUCCACAGCACAUGGGAAAGUGAGGACUCCUUGCAGCAGCAGAAAGUGAAAGGCAUUAAGAAGCUGGAGAACUUCAAGAAGAAAGAAGAAGACAUCAACAGUUGGUUGGAAAAGGUCACCCCAGAAGACGUAGAGUAUUUCAACUGCCAACAGGAACUGGCAGCUGAGUUGAACAAACAGUACCAGAUUGUGGAAAGAGUGAUUGUUCACAACCGCAAGUCCUCCUCUAAUGAGCCAGAGUACCUUUGCAAGUGGAUGGGACUUCCCUACGCAGAAUGUAGCUGGGAAGAUGAAGCUCUGAUCAGCAAAAAAUUCCAGUACUGUAUUGAUAGCUUCAACAAUAGGAACAACUCCAAAGCCAUGCCUACUCGGGACUGCAAGGUGCUGAAGCAAAGGCCUCGUUUUGUGGCCUUGAAGAACCAACCUUCCUACAUUGGUGGGGAGAAUCUGGAACUCCGCGACUAUCAGCUGGAGGGCUUGAAUUGGUUGGCUCAUUCUUGGUGCAAGAACAACAGUGUCAUCCUGGCGGACGAGAUGGGCUUGGGGAAGACCAUCCAGACCAUUUCUUUCCUCUGCUACCUCUUCUAUCAGCACCAGCUCUAUGGCCCCUUUCUGAUUGUGGUGCCUUUGUCAACCCUAACCUCAUGGCAGAGGGAGUUUGAGAUCUGGGCCCCUGAGGUCAACGUGGUUGUGUACAUUGGAGAUCAGCUGAGCAGGAAUGCUAUCCGUGAGUAUGAGUGGGUCCAUUCUCAGACCAAACGGUUGAAGUUCAACGUGCUGAUUACAACCUAUGAGAUCCUCCUGAAAGACAAGGCCGUUUUGGGAAGCAUCAACUGGGCCUUCCUAGGAGUGGAUGAAGCCCACCGCUUGAAGAAUGACGAUUCUUUGCUCUACAAGACACUGAUCGACUUCAAGUCCAACCACCGCCUGCUCAUCACUGGGACACCCCUUCAGAAUUCCCUGAAGGAACUGUGGUCCCUGCUGCAAUUCAUCAUGCCAGAGAAGUUCGAAUCCUGGGAAGACUUUGAAGAGGACCAUGGCAAAGGACGAGAGAACGGGUACCAGAGCCUGCAUAAGGUCCUGGAGCCCUUUCUCCUGCGCAGGGUGAAGAAGGACGUGGAAAAAUCCCUCCCAGCCAAAGUAGAGCAGAUCCUGAGGGUGGAGAUGUCUGCCCUCCAGAAGCAGUAUUACAAAUGGAUUUUAACAAGGAAUUACAAAGCCCUGUCCAAGGGAACACGUGGCAGCACUUCUGGCUUCCUGAACAUCGUGAUGGAGCUGAAGAAAUGUUGCAAUCACUGUUACCUGAUCAAACCUCCAGAAGAGAAUGAGAGGGAAAACAGCCAGGAGAGGCUGCAGUCUUUAAUCAGGAGCAGUGGGAAACUCAUCCUUCUGGACAAACUGCUCAGCAGGCUCCGUGCGAGGGGCAACCGAGUCCUCAUCUUCUCCCAGAUGGUGAGAAUGUUGGACAUCUUGGCGGAAUAUCUGACCAUCAAGCACUACCCUUUCCAGCGCCUGGACGGUUCUAUCAAAGGAGAAAUCCGGAAGCAGGCUCUGGAUCAUUUCAACGCCGAAGGCUCGGAGGACUUCUGCUUUCUACUCUCCACACGUGCUGGCGGCCUGGGGAUCAACUUGGCGUCGGCUGACACAGUGGUGAUCUUCGAUUCGGACUGGAACCCCCAGAAUGACCUACAGGCUCAGGCUCGGGCUCAUCGGAUUGGCCAAAAGAAACAAGUAAAUAUCUAUCGCUUGGUUACAAAGGGAACAGUGGAAGAGGAGAUUAUAGAAAGAGCAAAGAAGAAAAUGGUGCUGGACCAUCUUGUGAUACAGCGAAUGGACACCACAGGCCGGACAGUUUUGGACAACAGCUCUGAUAGAUCCAAGACAAACCCCUUCAACAAGGAGGAACUGACCGCCAUUUUGAAAUUUGGAGCCGAAGAACUUUUUAAAGAACCCGAAGGGGAAGAAUCUGAACCACAAGAAAUGGACAUUGAGGAAAUCUUACGCCUGGCUGAGACACGAGAGAAUGAACCAUCCACAAGUGCAACAGACGAACUGCUUUCACAAUUUAAAGUAGCAAACUUUGCUACAACAGAAGAGGAAGAAGCCGAGGCGGAAGAGAAAUCUCAGAAGGAGUGGGAAAGCAUCAUUCCUGAGGAACAAAGGAAGAAAGUGGAAGAAGAGGAGCGGCAGAAAGAACUUGAGGAGAUAUACAUGCUGCCCAGGAUUCGCAGCUCAGCCAAAAAGGUAAUUUUUCUAGUCGAAUCAGAUGUUGAAAUAAAGAGGAAGCUCCAGAGGUCUUCGGGCUCAGAUACCGAGACAGAGGACUCUGAUGAUGACAAAAGGCCCAAACGCAGAGGACGCCCUCGCAGUGUUCGGAAGGACACAGUGGAAGGCUUUACAGACCCUGAAAUCAGAAGGUUGGCAGAGUCAAAAAUUUGCUAUGGAGCACCUUUAUUACGUUCCAUCUCCCUUUUUAGACUGGAAUGCCUCGCUCGGGAUGCUGAACUGGUAGAGAAAUCGGUAGCUGAUCUGAAACGUUUGGGAGAACUUCUCCAUAACAGUUGUGCUUCAGCCAUGCAGGAGUACGAAGAGCAUCUGAAGGAGAACCCAACUGAAAGUGAGGAAAGGGGUAAAGGACCAGGGAAGAGAAAGGGGCCCACAAUUAAGAUCUCUGGAGUCCAGGUGAAUGUGAAAGCAAUUAUUCAACAUGAGGAGGAGUUUGCGAUGCUCCAUCAGACCAUUCCCAGUGACCCAGUGGAGAGGGCAAGGUUUCGUCUGAACUCCCGUGUCAAAUCUGCCCAUUUUGAUGUAGACUGGGGAGUGGAAGAGGAUUCUUCCUUGCUGCGGGGGAUUUAUGAGCAUGGAUGUGGGAACUGGGAGCUCAUCAAGUCAGACCCAGAACUGAACCUCACUGAAAAGAUUUUACCAGCUGAGACAGAUAAAAAGCCACAGGGGAAGCAGCUCCAGGCGCGAGUAGAUUAUCUGAUGAAGCUUAUCAAAAGAGACAUGAAGAGGAAAGAGAACCCGAACAAGACAGAGGAGGUCAGUUCCGUAACCAAGCUAAAUUUGCUCAAGUGGGCUUCAUUAAUGCUACGUAUUAUUUGGGAAGUUAGGAUGCUUUCUCCUCUUCUCUUUUCACAGCCCAAAGGCGCCGAGGCCAAACCCGGAAACCAAGGGAAGAAACUGCUGGGUCAGGGUCCCGUCCACAUUACGGCAGGAAGUGACCCUGUCCCCAUUGAAGAAGAGGAAGAGGAUGAGUUAGACCAUGCAACCUUCACCAUUUGCAAAGAGCUGAUGAGGCCAGUUAAGAAGUCCCUGAAGCAGCUGGAUAAGCCAGAAAGAGGACUUACAGACCACGACCAGCUGGAGCAAACACGGAGUUGCCUACUCAAGAUCGGAGACCACAUUGCUGAAUGUUUGAAAAUCCACACUGAACAGGAAGUCUUUAACGUAUGGAGAAGGAAUCUAUGGGUAUUUGUCUCCAAGUUUACUGAAUUUAAUGCCAAGAAAUUACAUAAGAUAUAUAAGAUGGCUAACAAAAAGCGAUCCCGGGAACAGGAGGUAAGAACAGAGGUGUGUGUGUUUGUGUUGUGCAGUAGAAUGCAAGGAAGGAGAGAGAGGGAAGGAAUGGGAACAUCUUGGAGCUGGAAGGGACCUUGGAGGUCUUCUAAACCAACCCCCUACUCAAGCAGGAGACCCUAUCCCAUCUUGGACAAGUGGCUCUCCAGUCUCCAUUGGUGGACUUGCAUUGCUUUUUCUUCAAGUUGUCUGCCAAAUGCAACUGUGUGUGUGUGUGUGGGGGUCCCCUAG
rnacentral:lncRNA from 1 species